GUCUCUCAACACGAGAAAACUUGUUUCUUGUGCUUGGAAAGUGAAGGUUUUGCUGGCGCAAAUAACUGUCAGCUCCUUUUAAAUGCAUUAGCAGAACAGUGUAGGACUGGCCUCAGUUUGAUAAGAAAUAUUUAUCUAUGCUGUCGCUAGAUUUCCUCUUUGUGUUCAGCUUCAAACUGUCUUCGGACUGUCUCUCUUGAGGCAAAAUAAUUUAUU
rnacentral:misc_RNA from 1 species